rnacentral:pre_miRNA from 1 species
UUAGCUCAUAUUUGUAUGGAAUGGGAUCGUUUGCCUACGUUUGCCGUUAGGGGCGCUGUUUCAAUUGCAUACAAAAUUGGGUUA